rnacentral:rRNA from 1 species
GCGCGAAAACUUCGCAAUGCGCGAAAGCGCGACGAGGGAAUCCCAAGUGCUUGCUCGUUAGAGUAAGCUGUUUUUUAUGUCUAAAAACGCAUAGAGAGUAAGAGCUGGGUAAGACGGGUGCCAGCCGCCGCGGUAAUACCUGCAGCUCGAGUGGUGGUCGUUAUUAUUGGGCCUAAAACGUCCGUAGCCGGUUUAUUAAAUGCCUGGGUAAAUCGUGUAGCUUAACUAUACGAAUUCCGGGUAGACUGAUAAACUUGAGAUCGGGAGAAGUUAGAGGUACUCCUGGGGUAGAGGUGAAAUUCCGUAAUCCUAGGGGGACCACCAGUGGCGAAGGCGUCUGACUAGAACGAGUCUGACGGUGAGGGACGAAGCCCUGGGGCGCAAACGGGAUUAGAUACCCCGGUAGUCCAGGGUGUAAACGCUGCUUGCUUGAUGUUAGUCGGGCUCCGAGCCCGAUUAGUGUCGGAAAGAAGUUGUUAAGCAAGCUGCCUGGGAAGUACGAUCGCAAGACUGAAACUUAAAGGAAUUGGGCGGGGGAGCACGAGCGAAC